GACGAACGCUGGCGGCGUGCUUAACACAUGCAAGUCGAACGGUGAAGCGCUUUCCUUUUUGGUUGGUGUGGAUGAGUGGCGAACGGGUGAGUAACACGUGAGUAACCUGCCCCCUUCUUCUGGAUAACCGCAUGAAAGUGUGGCUAAUACGGGAUAUUCUGCGCCUGCUGCAUGGUGGGUGUGGGAAAGAUUGUGCCUUUGGGUGUUUUCGGUGGGGGAUGGGCUCGCGGCCUAUCAGCUUGUUGGUGGGGUGAUGGCCUACCAAGGCGGUGACGGGUAGCCGGACUGAGAGGGUGGACGGUCACACUGGGACUGGGACACGGCCCAGACUCCUACGGGAGGCAGCAGUGGGGAAUAUUGCACAAUGGGCGCAAGCCUGAUGCAGCGACGCCGCGUGAGGGAUGGAGGCCUUCGGGUUGUGAACCUCUUUCGCCAGUGAAGCAGGCCUGCUCCUUGUGGGUGGGUUGACGGUAGCUGGAUAAGAAGCGCCGGCUAACUACGUG
rnacentral:rRNA from 1 species